ensembl:lncRNA
GGAUUGGAAAAUUAGUAAUUGCAAACCAUGGAUGAAAUUUAUAAGAUUGCUUCCACAGAAAGGAUCCAGGUGUUGGAAAAAGAACUGGCUACACAACUGACUGAACUGAAGUCUGAGAUAGAAGAACAAUGGACUCUGCAGGGGUCAGCUUGUCAAACUUACAGCUCUGUUCGAAUGCCAAAGGACAUCUCUUACUUUAGAAGAGAAAGGGAACUGGCCCUAAAGAAAACUUUACAGGUGGCCGAGUCAAAGUCCCUUGUUAUUCAACCAGAUGUCAUGCAGAGGGAGCUAGAGAGCUGCCUAAAGAGAGAAUACACUCCUGAAAAUUUACCUUUGCUUCUGUUGCAGAAACAAGUUGUCUACAUUAUGCAGGAAUACAACGACGCUCUUCAGAGAGCUGAUCGAUUGUCUGUUGCCCGAGAAAACUUCCUUAUGGGAAAAAAGAACCCUCCUAACUUAGUGACACAGGAAGACCUGACUAUUUACACAAAUUGGUUAGUGUGUCACCUACACUCACUCAGGAUUAUUCACCACUAUGUGCAGGCCCUCCAGUAUUUACCCAUCUCCAAAGCUCUGAGUGUAGCUGUUGAUGAAGUCCCUGUGGUUGGUCAGGAAAAUGAAAAGGUUCCUGUUGAUGACACUGACCCUGACAUCCAGGGUUCUGCAUCUCCAGACUCUAUGAAUACCAGUGUUUCAGGGCCAAUGAGAACAGAAACUGCUUUCGUUCUGCCCCAACACACAACAGAAACAGAAGAACUGAAACCUCAGCUGAGGCUGCUGCUCUCCCAUUUCCAUAUCUCAUAUGACGUGGAAGAGCUGAGGGACGCUUCUAAGGAGACAGAACUUUUUGCCUUGGUUUCCCAAAAAUUUCAAAGCAUCUUCAUGGAGCAACAGAGAAUGCAAACGUUUCCAGACUAUAAUGCUGGGAUAGCUAAAGUGGAAAAUUUGGACUUGACUGGACCUGGUAGGGCCUUGAAAAAGAGAGCCAACUGGACUUCCUUUAUAAAGAUUAAGCCAAAACAUGAUCCUGGGCAAAAGAAGCUUUUGACCAAGCUAAAAGAACGGAGAAGAAUAGAUCUAUUAAUGCAACUCCAAGCAAAAUUUCUGAAGAUUUCCAAUCCUGAGCGAGUAAUGCAAGUGCUCCAGGAUCAUGCUGCAAAGAUGGUCUUGCUGGCUUCGUCUCAUCCAACAUGUGUGACUUCCCAGGGCAACUAUGACCAAAUCUGGGAGACUAUUUAUAGCAACAUCAACCUCUACCAGAAUGAAAACACUAAGGAAGAUGACCUUUCAGUGCAACGAGAUGAAAAUGACCCAGCACCAAUAAAUCUUAGCCAGUGUGCUAAUAAGCCUGUGGAGCAGAAGAAAGAGACAAGGUACAGUUACGCAGUGGCCCUACAGCUGCUGGGCUUAGAUGACAGGACUGGGCCCAGUGACAGGGAUCCUGUCCCGUUGAGGGGGACCUACUUGUCCUUUCUGUAUCUGCGUCACCUGAGGAUCCGGGAGCUGCAGGUAUGUGGAUGGUCUUGCAUGCAUCUGAAUUGUUUGGUUGUCUGUAAAGGGGGCUUUCCUGCUGCUCCAGUAAUAUGCAUUUUUACACUUUGUUCUGAUUCUUCCAUGAAAUCAGGCCUUUUGGAGGGUGGUGUGUUCCUUUUCCAGCAGUACGGUUGA